CGACAAAAUGAACCAGAGUUCGAAUCCUGCAGUACCCAUUUUCGCGUUUGGUUUUUAACUUUUUCUCGCAUCUUCAGAAUUUCCUUCUUUCGUAUCUUGAGAAGAAAGAACAACUAAUAUCGUCGUAUUCAUGAGAAACUUCAAUCAUCUUCUCUGUUCUUCUCUAUUAACCUAGCGCCUCACUGAAACAAAAACAAAGUGAACCGAAGAAUUGGUAUUUUCCCCUCUCGCCAAUCAUCCAUGAAAAAGGUGGGAUCAGAUGAACAAGAAAAAACGACGAAACUUCGAAGAAACUUCUUAAGUAAGUGUCAGACAUGAUCUAGGGCCAAUUUGCGGCUGAAAAUUCUUUUGAUUGUGUAAUUUCGAGUUCUAGGGUUAGUUUUGGGGUCAAUUUUAGCAAAAGAAGAAGAAGAAGAAGAAGAACCCUAAUUUGAAAAAGGAAUUAACUGUAAGUAUAUACCACUACCUUGCCUUUUAUUUGAAAAACCCUAAUUUUUUCUGUAGGCACUUACAAAAUUUGCUCAAUUGAUUCUUACAUUCCUGAAAUUUGGAUUGGUUUCUUAAUGUUUGUGAAUGUUGUAACCCUUUGUUCUGAAAUUUAUCAAUUUCAAUUUCUCCUUCCUUUGGAAGGUAUAGGUGAAAUUUCUUCAAAUUCAUUUUCUGCUAAAUCCCCAAACAUUUACUUUAGAAGUAUACAUUACAUUUAGUUUAUUAUGAUUGCGACUCAACAAGUUCAUGGAGGGAUUUUUGGGAAUUUUGGUUCUCUUCAAGAAAUUCAGUAUCUUUAGCUAGAUUAGAAAUUGGUGGAAGGAAAAUUACCUUCAGCUUUAGGAAAUUGCUCUUGGUUCAUGCACUUGAACAAAUGUUAUCAUUGACCUAGAUGAAUGGAAGUCCAUUGCAUAUGUUUGAGUGGCUAUUGCACACUGUCCAUGACAAUAGUUUCCGAUUGUUACCUUAGAAAAAAGAAAACAAAUAACAAUAAAAAAACAAGAAUUCAGAGCAAUUGUCAACUUUGCAUUAGCUUACCAUUCUGAAGGCGGAGUUGGAUUCGCAAGGUAGUCGUUGAUACCAUUUUAUAAAUAGCUACAUGGAUUUUCAACGGCUUCAUGAUUAACAUCUUUGAAGUAGUUAAUUACUAGCUUAUACGAAACAUGGUUAGCUAAUGAUUAGAUAACAAUUAGCUAAGAACUCUCCUUUGCUUUUGCAUAUACAUGCAUAUUUUUUAAUUAGAUGUACUUGCAUUAGCCAUAAUAAUUGUUACCUAAACAUGGUUAGAAAUUGAUCAGAUAAUCUCUCUUUUAUGUACCAUGUAUCAUGACAUGUGGUGGAUUAUUCCCUGAACUUAACACGGUGAUCCGGAAGAUUUUAUGGGGAUAAGGAUAUGGUAGUAUUUCGGAAAUGGAAAGGAGAAAAGUAUUUUUUUAGGAUAUCGGUAGUGCACAAUUCUUUGUAUGUGCAUGAUCCGCUCAGUAUCGCCGAUUCACAAGAGAAUCGGCAUAUGUAGGGUGGAUGCAGGGUUUCUAUACUCAAAAUACAGUUCUACUGACACCAAAGGUUGUGAAUGACAUCCAUAAACGGUGGGACUAUCCUUGGGUCAUCAAGAGGUGGCCAUCAUACCUCAAAGAUAGUUGACAACAUUUAAGACCGGGGCAUUGACCAGGUACAGAGAUACGAAUGUAAAUUGCUUUCAUAUCAAGGUUUUUUAAUCCAACCUAUGAAUGAUUUCUCCGCAUGUUAUUAUUGACUACUUUGGGGCUUUAUAAUGGAUCUGUUUUAACAUGUUGAGUGGCUUUCUACCAAUUUUAUGAGCACGCAUCUGAGGCACGCAAACAAGCUGUUUUCCAAGCAUUGUUAGGGGCCAGAGUUUCAAUAGUCAACAACAGAUGUCAUAGGGCAAGAUGGGAGAUGAAGCUGGUGUCUGAUUGAACCCAAGUCACAUACAAAGCUUUCGGAUGCUAUUAUGAAUAUGAAGGAGUUCUUAUAGCUGGAAUACUUUCGGUGUAAAUGGAAUUGUUUGAUAGAAAAGUUCGAUUUUAUUUGAAAUGGAAUGGCAGGCGCCGCGCAUCGCGCAUGCGGCUUGACUAGAAGUUGAUGGAGUUACUUAAUGAGAAUAAAUGUCGUUAUUAAACUUCAAGUUUCAAUUUCUCCUUUGCUGAAAAAUGUGGAUGAAAUGUCCACUGAUCAAGUUUAUAUUAGAAUUUUUAUGUGGAUAAAGCUCGUUUUUCUCGGUCGGAAUUUCGGAUCUUCUUUGGUCAGUAUCUUGAUAUAUGUUACAGACUUAAAUUGUUUCUACUCUUCACGAUCAAUGUUUUUGCGGCAAUACAAUUUUUGUGCAUCCAUGAUUUUAAAAAUUAUAUAUUCAAUAUAAUGAAAGACAUAUUAAUUCUUUUGUUUUCUAA